UCCGUAGCUCAGUGGUUAGAGCAUCCGACCGGUGUACGGAAGGUCAUGGGUUCAAAUCCACGCUCGUAACAA
rnacentral:tRNA from 1 species